UCAUAUUAAGCUAAGAUAACUUAUCUGUUGGGACUUUUUCUAUGCCUAUUUUUUUCAGCAUUAUGGUCCAGAAAUUAAAUGGGUCGAUGGAGGAAAACCACUGUUGAAAGUUUCAACUCAUUUAGUUUCUACAGUGUAUACAUAGGUGCGUGCUACUCUGUAAAAAUUAGCAGUGAUUGCUCUGUGACUCAUGUUGUAUUUUUUUGUUAAACAGAAUCCUGUUAUGUCAUAUGGAUAUUUUUACCCUACAGAUCUUUAUUUGAGGAAAGUACAUAAAACGUGCUCAUUUGUAGUAAUAUAAAUGACUAGUAGAAGUAAUAUUUUUCAGCAGUUCUUUGUUGGAGGAUCGCUGUUAUUUUAAUGUGACCAAUUUCCUAGUAUUAAAAGAAAAUUAUGCAUGCUUGAUAAUAUGCAUACUAAUAGACUUUUCUUCUCCCUCCCCCAGGAUCAGCAUUUACAUAAUUUUUUCCAGUACUGUCAGAAAACUGAAUCUGGAGCUCAGGCUGUAGGGAAUGAACUUGUAAAAUACCUUAAGAGUCUGCAUGCAAUGGAAGGCCAUGUGAUGAUCGCCUUCCUGCCCACCAUCCUAAACCAGCUAUUCCGAGUCCUCACCAGAGCCACCCAGGAGGAAGUCGCAGUUAAUGUGACUAGGUAAGGGAGGUGGAUGGAUGGAUACUUUUCUUCGCUUCCAGUCUGUCCACAUCUGGAGCACAGUCAUGCAUAUCCGGGAUGCUAGUAUGUGCUGAACAUUUAUUGAAGAAAUGUCUUGAUCCCAUACAUGGGGACCCCGUCUAAUUCCUUGUCUCCUUGUUUCCUAAGUGACAGUAGCAUCAUCAUUGUUCUACUACUACUGCUAUAAUAAUGAAAUGUUUCCAUUUUCACAUUACUAUUCAUUGCUUUAUUCAUUCCUGUGGUGUGUAGGGUCAUUAUUCACGUGGUUGCCCAGUGCCAUGAGGAAGGAUUGGAGAGCCACUUGAGGUCAUAUGUUAAGGUAUGUAAAACUAACUGUUCUGAUUAUUUACAUCUGUGGCUCUCCAAUUUUCCUUCUAAGAACUUUUUUUUUUUCUUUACAAGCCUGGUUAUUUAGGGAUGUACUUCCAACUUACUACCUAUCCUUUCUAUCCUAUCCCUAUUGCCGGAGCUUGUACCUGGACAAGAGAAAGUAUGAAGAGAGGCAGCCACUGCUUCCUUUAUUUAAUUUCAUCCUUUGAACAAGUAAAGUGACUCAAAUGAUGUAGAAGUUUAAAGAAUUUUAAGUUGCUCUUGGCUAGGCCUCUGGUAAAUUUAGUCUUCUUCAUUUUUCUUUUUUCCACACAAAAUUCCAGCAAAUGGCUACUCCUAAGCAAGAGAGGCUAAUUCUGGCCACAAU
rnacentral:lncRNA from 1 species